rnacentral:rRNA from 1 species
GCAAACGAGCGCAACCCUUAUCCUUUGUUGCCAGCGGUUCGGCCGGGAACUCAAAGGAGACUGCCAGUGAUAAACUGGAGGAAGGUGGGGAUGACGUCAAGUCAUCAUGGCCCUUACGAGUAGGGCUACACACGUGCUACAAUGGCAUAUACAAAGAGAAGCGACCUCGCGAGAGCAAGCGGACCUCAUAAAGUAUGUCGUAGUCCGGAUUGGAGUCUGCAACUCGACUCCAUGAAGUCGGAAUCGCUAGUAAUCGUAGAUCAGAAUGCUACGGUGAAUACGUUCCCGGGCCUUGUACACACCGCCCGUCACACCAUGGGAGUGGGUUGCAAAAGAAGUAGGUAGCUUAACCUUCGGGAGGGCGCUUACCACUUUGUGAUUCAUGACUGGGGUGAAGUCGUAACAGGGUAAC